CAAAGAUCAUGAGUUUCGAUCAGAUUCGAAGAAGUGGUUUUCAUUUCGACGCACUGUUGGAGUUUUUUUGGUGAAACUUUUCAUGUUUUUCUCUUAAGUGAACAUUAUAAUUAUCAUUAUUCUGAAUUGUUAGUUAUUCGUUUCUUGCAAUUGCUUCCAAAUUGACCCGAAUCCCCGCAUAUAUCAGUUGCAGCUAGAUUUUGUUCAGUCUGGCUGAAAUUGCAAGAACCGAUAGGCCGAUAGUUGUCGAUCUAUAGUGGUGGCAAUGUUUUUGAACUAUUGGCACGAAGAGAGGUUUCACCUUGGACGAAGCACUCACCAAAAGUAUUAUGGAGAAGCUUCUAAACCUCGAUGUGAUUCCUUUGGAUCAAGGCAUGCUGUACAAGAUGCAAGGCAAGGUCUUGUCACAUGGGUGGAGGCAGAAAUGCUGUGGCAUUUAUCAGCCAAAUAUUGUCCACUAUUGCCUCCUCCAAGGUCAACUAUUGCAGCAGCCUUCAGCUCCGAUGGAAGAACGGUUGCUUCUAUGCAGUGAGAUUCCAUUAUAGUCUAUCUUAUACCUUAUAAAGGUUAGGAUAAAGACUUGCGUAUAGAUGCUUAAUUUUUAAAAUAUCAUUGUGUUUUUAUUCCUCCAAUGGAGACCAUACCGUGAAGAUUAUUGAUUGCAAAACUAGGAACUGCUUAAAGGUUUUGAGUGGUCACUGAAGGAACCUCGCGUGGUAAGUUUAUAUUAUAGGCUCUAUUCUUAUUGUUUAUAGUUAGGCAGGUAGAAUAUGCUAUAAACGUUGUCUGUUCCAUGAUACAUACUAAAGUCUUGCUGUCAUGAUACUGUAUUUGGCUUUUGAAGGAAAGAAUUUUUAUUUAAAUUAGUAAUAGGAAUUUCUAUGAUGUCCAUAUGGAAAUCUAUCAUAUGGUAAUUGCCUGUUAAAAAUCUUAACCAAAUGAGUUACAUAACAUACACCUAUCCUAUGAAUUUUCUGUGUGCUAUGCAUCUCUCAUUUUCACAUUCCAGUGGAACUUUUGCAGGUUAGGUUUCAUCCCUUAUAUCCUGAAAUACUUGUGAGUGGAAGUUUGGAUCAUGAAGUUUGUUUGUGGGAUGCUAAUACAGCAGUGUAUAGGAUUACAUGAUCUUUGUAAUUUCUUCUAUGGGAUUUUAUAUAGCAUUUGGAGAAGAAUAUCAUGUUGAAAUUGUAUAAUUUACAUAUGGAUAUGACAGUUAUUUUCCUUUUCUCCUCACAGAUCAUCCUAUUGCUUCUAUUGCGUUCCAUGCAUAGGGGGAGCUUCUUGCUGUGGCUUCAGGUCACAAGGUCAAUGACCUCGAUUCAUCAGAUUGCUCAAAGACACUUGCAACUUCUCCAGGUUACUUGCAUUAUCCUCCACCCACUGUGUACUUGGCUGGUGCUCAUCCAAGUGGUCUUCCUUAUUUGGUAGAUGAACUUUCUCUCAUGUCUUCACACUUUUUGGUGUAGCAUUCAUUUGCUAAAGAUGAUGGGAGAACAUCUUUGCAGCCUACAUAUGGGGGGAUGCAGGUUUGGCUAGUGUGCAACAAAGAGUGGAUCCUUCUGCUUCAGUGCGGCCUCUGAGAUAUUCCACUCUAUCAGGGCAGUAUGAACUUUUAUUGUCUCCUAUUGAUCCUAAUAACUCAUCACCUGUGCCAGAGGAUACGGGAAAUGAUUCUUUAAUGAGUGAAACAGAUGACACGAUUCCUCAAUCUGCUAUGGAUGCCAUGGAGACGGUGGAAGUGCAUCCUGAAGAGAGAAAUGAUCGCUUCUUUCCUUUUGGUGAUCCAAUUUAUUGGGAGCUACCUACCCACCCGUGGGUAGCCCUAGUGGUAAGAGUGAACUUGUGUGCAUAAGCCCCCUGUCACAAGUUCUAUGCACACAAGUUCGAUUCCCCCUGGGAUCAAAUUGCGAUUUAAGUGGGAGGUCAUGGUGGUGGGUUCCUGUGCUAGUCUCCUGGGGGUUUAGGUUUCACGGAUGAGUCCUAAGGGCUCUGCCUUGGGGUGGUUCCCCUGCCAUUAAAAAAAAUGUGUUGGGAGCUGCCUUUCUUGCAAGGGUGGUUAAUUGGACAGAGUCAAGCUGCAGAAUGCACCAUGGGCUCAGUCAAUGCUUCAGCCCAUGAGAGUUUAUCAACAUUUACUGAAAUGAAAAAUCUCAUGGCUCUUCAGUUAUGCUGAUCAGUGUCAGCCAAUCUAGAGUUACUGGAAGAUCUAGUUCUCAUCAGCAUUCUUUACAUUCUCGCAUGAGGUCCAGAUUGGAUCCAAUGAAGGUUUUAACUUCAAUCACAUUCCAUUUGAUGGAAGUGAUCCUCAGCCCCCUCCAAGCAGAAUCCAAUCUGAACUUGCAACCUUGAUGGCUGUUGCAGAGUUACCUUGCACUGUGAAGCUAAGAAUAUGCAUGAUGUUAAAGAUCCAUGUGCUCUUCUUGAUGCAGAAGAGUGUGGCUUAACUAUACCGCAUGUUGUACUUUGUAGCUCUAACCAUUAAAUAAUAUUCUCCUUUUAUUUUUAUCUUUUAAACUCUGUUUUGAGCUUGUUGCUACCAUAAACAUUCAGAAAUCUGUAAAUGGAAGUAGGACUUUUUGGUAAUUUUACUUAUCUGAACGUAGUUCUUUCUUGGAGUAACAUUUAGCUUGGAGAUACAGAUAUUGAUAUUAUUCUAACUACCCUUGUUUCCCCCAUUAUGGAACUAGAUACCUUUUCUGCCUUUCUUCUUUUAGUAACAUUAAUUUGUAGACAACUUAUCAAACUACAUAUCUAUAUAAUGUGUAUGAUACACGAUACAUACAGCGGAGGGAUGUUUACUUGUACAGAUAAGUUGCAGUGGGUGCUCAUUUUUCACCUUGUGGGAGAUUUUUAGCAGCCCGUGUUUGGCAUGUGUGCUGUCUCAUCUGGAAGCUGAUCCAGGAUUGCAAGGCCAGGUCCACAACAAAAUUACAGUAGCUGCAACAUCCCUGACACGGCAUCCAAUUUCAGCCCACGAAGUUCUAUAUGAGUUUCGGAUAUAUUCCCUCGAAGAGGCAAUGUGAAGCUUAAACCUAGUCAUGUAUCAUGUCUUUUUCAGGUUUUGAUUUAUGCUUUUCCUUGUACUUCUGCCUGAUAAUUUAUGCUUGUUUAUCUAGAUUUGGUUCAGUGCUUCAUCACAGGCAAUACGGGCUGCCCAUUGAUUAACUUCAAUUCAGGUUUAUAGAGUUUCUGAUAUGGAACUUGUGAGAGUUCUUCCUGGUGCCGAGGAUGAGGUCAACGUAGUCUGCUUUCAUCCAUCAGUUGGAGGUGGCUUGAUCUAUGGAGGUGGAUUGAUCUAUGGGAAUAAGGAAAUAACGAGACGGCUCGAAUUGGAGGUGAUCUCCAGCUGCAGAUUUUGUCCUACAGUGAGCUGAUUCACUCCUUGGGAAGGUCCGAACUUGUCUUCCUUUUAUUUCAUGAACAAUGGGUAAAGGGCUAGUUAGCAAUACAAAAUCUUAAACUAUUUGAUCUUAUCUAAUAUAAUCAUUACAAUUUUUAUAAAUUUUUAAC